rnacentral:rRNA from 1 species
GACGGAGGAUGCAAGCGUUAUCCGGAAUGAUUGGGCGUAAAGCGUCCGCAGGUGGCAGUUCAAGUCUGCUGUCAAAGACCGGGGCUUAACUUCGGAAAGGCAGUGGAAACUGAACAGCUAGAGUAUGGUAGGGGCAGAGGGAAUUCCUGGUGUAGCGGUGAAAUGCGUAGAGGUCAGGAAGAACAUCGGUGGCGAAGGCGCUCUGCUGGACCAUAACUGACACUCAGGGACGAAAGCUAGGGGAGCGAAUGGG